rnacentral:rRNA from 1 species
UACGGAGGGGGCAAGCGUUAUCCGGAUUCACUGGGUUUAAAGGGUGCGUAGGUGGGUCUGUAAGUCCGUGGUGAGAUCUCCGAGCUUAACUUGGAAACUGCCAUGGAUACUAUAGAUCUUGAAUACUGUGGAGGUUAGCGGAAUAUGUCAUGUAGCGGUGAAAUGCUUAGAUAUGACAUAGAACACCAAUUGCGAAGGCAGCUGGCUACACAAAUAUUGACACUGAUGCACGAAAGCGUGGGGAUCAAACAGG